UACGGGGGGUGCGAGCGUUGUCCGGAAUCACUGGGCGUAAAGGGCGCGUAGGCGGCCACCGCAAGUCGACUGUGAAAUCUCCGGGCUUAACUCGGAAACUGCAUUUGAUACUGGCGUGCUUGAGGACUGGAGAGGAGACUGGAAUUUACGGUGUAGCAGUGAAAUGCGUAGAGAUCGUAAGGAAGACCAGUGGCGAAGGCGGGUCUCUGGACAGUUCCUGACACUGAGGCACGAAGGCCAGGGGAGCAAACGGG
rnacentral:rRNA from 1 species